UGCCACUGCCAUUGCAGCUCCCGGCCCCGGGCGCGGACGCUUGCCUCCCAGUUGGAUGACUCGGCCCGGGCGAGACAGUGCCCAGAGGGCCUUGGCCCAGUGAAACAAUGCCCUCAAUGCCCUACGCACACCUCCUGCGAGGCUCCAGGCCGCUCCAGUGGCGCCCCCUACCCCGACGCACACGUGGACCAAAAAGGCAUUCAACACUGAGAAUCAGUGGUUGACUUCUGUUGGCCUUUAGAACCUUGCUCCAGCAUCAUGACCUUGAGAAAAUCUUCCUGGGAUCCCUACAUUCAGCUGCCCUUGCACUUGGCGAGUUGUGUGACUGAUUCUGGCCAAAGGACAGUGGAUGAGAAUGACAUGCGACCGUUGCAGACAGAGGUGUCUUCUCGACAUGCUCUGCUCUCCCUCUGCCAGCCAGCUGAGGCCAGAAGAUGGCAGAGUCUCAAGAUGGACACAGCCCAGCCCCCAGAGAGGGCCCCUGGAGGACAGCCACUCCAAGAAGGGCUGCUGAAAAGGGUUGCAUGACUCCAUGGCACCGGGAAGCCAUACAGGAUCCAUCAGACAGAGGAGAGGAAAUUCUGCUUUUCAUUCUACAGGAUGGAAAACAAAACCUGAUUAGUGGAUCUUUAUGGCAAAUGUGAACAGAGUGUUUGGGAGAAGAUGGAGAAAUCCAUUUCUAGUCUCCUGCACGAACACAAUAGAGUAACCCUGUGUGCUCUUCACCGGUUGAUGAACAGAAAAUUUAUAUCUUAUAAUCUAAACCGUCAGAGUUUCCUUUAUGUAAUGACAAUAGACUAUACACAGCUACCUUUGUGGAACCUAAAAACAUCAUUGCUCAGGGCCAGAUGUAAUGCGCAAUAAAUAAUUUAGCAACAAAGCUCUCCUCAUUCUAUUUACGGUAAGUUAGAAUUCAUCUCCGUGGCCCAUGUGAAACAGCACUUAGUGGAUGGCAAAAUCCAAAUAUAUCUCCAGUGUAACCUGAUGCGCACUGAAAGGGCUCCAAGAAUUCCAAAGAUACUGCAGAGCUUGGAAUUCCUUCUGCCCUCCAAAUCAACAUAUGUCCUUUUUUCCCUCCUGGUUGCUUUUGCUCCAAAUAACUCAAUGCCUGAUGUGCAGGUCUAUUUGUUUCAACCUUGGAAUGCAUUUUUCACCUCCUAAAAUGCUUUGCAUAGAAACUGUGGCACCUCAGUCCCUGGGUGCAUGUUCAUAUUUUUGUGUCUAAAGAGUUUUUCGCUGUAAUAUGCACAGCAAUCAUGUGAUGGCCAGGGAGAUUCUUUGACGGACGUGGAAACCAAGGCUCAGAGAGCCUGGGGCUUCCCCAAAGUGGUCAAGGGGUGCUUUCUUUCAUUCAAAAUAUUUUAACGAGCACCUUUUACUGGCAAGGUGUCAUAGUUACAACGGACACUGGGUUCCAGUGUUGAAAAAGACAGAGGUGGUCCCUAACCUCAUCCAAAUUAUAUUCUAGUGGAGAAGACAGACAUUUACUAUUUAUGCAAAUGAUGCCUGCUUUGGGGCUGUGGCAGUGCCCCUGGAGAUGCUUGGGAUGGCAGCGAGCAUGGGUACCUGCUCUGUCCUGGAGGCCUGGGAACGCUUCUCUGAGGAAGCAGCAUGAGCCGUUAGAUUUAACUGUUUCAUAGAGAGAAGGGGAGAACGUUCCCAAUAGAGGGACAGACAGGCGGAAAGACCCCGAGGCGGAACUUGUUUUAACACAGGAAGAAGAUCUUCAACACGUGGCAGAGGUCUUUGAAUUCACACCUUUGAAGCCAACUAACCAGGCUCCCUUGCUGUUAAAAUGAAGAGACCUUGUAACAUUUGUCCUGGCUGCCAUCUGAGAAGACCACCUCUACCUCCCAGAAGAAGAUUUUAACCUCAGCUUAGCAUGGAGGCUGCUCUGGGACACGAGGGACAAGUGAAAACAACUCAUGGCCAGAAUGUAUGAAUUAAUGGUCAAUGAGAACAACGUUUGUUUCCUGGAAUGAGAUGGAGGCAAUCAUGUAAGAAUUACAAUAUAAUAGUGUCCUAACCUUGAAUGGGAUGAAAACAUUACUGUUGUAAUGCUACCCAGUGAGUAACAGUAGCUUAUGUUUUUGCGGGCCUCUCACUGUUGUGGCCUCUCCCGUUGUGG